GCCAGGCCCCACCUCCCCUGCGGAGCCCUGGCUACUCACCCCAACGAUGUUCCUCUGCGACCUAGUCGCCCUCACAGACGCCUCUUCCGCUAGCUGCGCGCCCGCCUCGCAGCCACCGCCCCCUAAGUCGCUGCCGUCCUCGGUGCCGUCCUCGGUGUCGUCCUCGCUGCCGCCGCCGCCGCCGCGGCGCGCGUCCGAUUUCACGCACACCGCCGUGGCCGCGCACGCGCCUCUGCGCGCUGGCGUCACUUAGCAACCGACAGUUCUCGGGUGGGCUAACCGCCAGGGUUUAGGCCCCCAGGGGCCUCGGGCGGACUCUGCGGCUUUCCUCCACCGCCCAGACCCGCUGCCCCGGCUGAGCAAGGCCCCCCAGGGUGUGGCUACCCUGCGGGCACCUGGCUCCGGGUAAGUCACGUCACCACACGUCACUGUAUAGCGUCACCGGUGCGCGUCACUGCGGAGGGGAAGGUCCAGGGCACCUGUGGACUGAGCGAUGGCCUCGUCGGGACCGGCGCGGACCGGAUCGGCAAGUUCUUCCAGAUGCUGGAAAGUUCUCCAAGAGUGGGACCCGAAGGGGCUGAGUGACAUUCGUUAACUUAGCAGCAGGGUGUGAUGGCCCGAGCCUUGAAUUGCCAUGCCUCAGAGUCCUCGUUCUGUAAGUGGGAAUUAUAAUAUCCGUCCUGCCCACACUAGAAAGUUUUGAGGCUAAAACGGAAUAGUGUAUGCAGAGAUACUAUGUAAAGGAUGAAACACACUUCACUUUACUUUCUCAUGAGAAGACAGUAGCGCAAGAGAAGUGGAGAGUGUGGACUUUGCAUUCACUGAAAUCUGAAAGCAAAUUAGAUCUGAGCCUGGCUGAUAUUGGAGAAUCAGUUCCCCUUGGAAGUUACUUCCUUCUGGGCAUGGUGGGGGCCAAGGUGCAGGGAUCUGGGGAGACUAAUUAGGAAAGACUUAAUUCCAGGGAAAGGAGUAAAUGCAGGAAGUGAAAAUAGUCGGGAAAACCAAGGCUUGGACCAGGGAUACCCAGUUUGAGGCCAUUGCAGUCCUUCAGACAAGAAGUGUUGAGAACCUUAACUAAGGCAUUGGCAGUGGGAAUGCAGAGGAAGGGAACACUGUUUAGGUGGUACAAUUGCCAGCACUGGGUAGAGGAUAAAUGGAUAAUUCUAGUGUAGGUGCUGGAGUAGAUAGUGGUAAUAGUUAGCAAGAUGGGAAGAAAGAUGAGUCUGUAUUAUCCACAUGUGUCUAAUAUACUACAUAGUGACGAUGACCUGUGAAAUAGGAUGAUGAGUUCAGAUGUAGAUCUGUUUGUUUUGGAAACACUUAUUCCACUCUCCUUCCGCAGGGAGUAGCAUCCAUUAGUAUAAUACUUCUGGCUUCUCCCUGCCUGGAUCCCCAACUCACUCCUCCCUGGAAAAGUGAUUUCCUGAUUGAUGAACUUAAAAGGAGAAACAGUUCUCUCAAAAGAGAGUUGUCUUGGGCUGGGGUUGUGGUUCAGCUAGAGCACUAGCCUAGCUCAUGUGAGGCACUGAGUUCAUCCUCCGCACCACAUAAAAAUAAAUAAAUAAAGAUUAUUGUGUCCACCUAUACUAAAACAAAAUUAAAGAAAAGAGUUGCCUUCAGGGAACUGUUCUUGUGUUCUCUUCUCUCUUCUGCAGGGGCAAGGGCUAGUGGUAAAGUUUUCUAGGCCAGAGCUACAAAGCAAGUAAGCCUGUUUAUUUCCAGAGUAUAACAUAAGGAAACUGUCCACAGGUGAUAUCAGAUAUCUGCUUUGUCAAUUCUGUUAUACAGGAAAAUGGGCCCACAAUGGUGACUGCAUCCUAAUCUCCAGAACCUGUGAAUAUGUCACCUUGUGUGGCGAAAAGUCUUCAAAUACAGAGAGAUUAUACUGAAUGAAUGGCUGGGCUACAGGCAGAAAUGUCAGAAAAGGAGAAGGAAGCAAAGGUCAGAGAAACAGAUUUGAAAAUGCUUCACUAUCUACCUCCAAGAUAGAUCCAAGGAGGGCUAGGAGUGUAGCUCAGUGGUAGAGUGCUUGCCUCACCCAAGCGCAAGGACCUGGUUUUAAUUCUCGGGUGCAGGGAUUAGGGAUAUCCAAGGUAUACAGACAUCCCCCUGAAAAGGCAAGGAAAUGUAGUCUUCCCUGGAGUUCCCAGAAGGAGUACAGUCCUGUCAACACUUUGAUUUUAGGACUUCUGACCUCUAGAACUUUAAGAUAAUAAAUUUAUAUGGUUUUAAGCCACUAAGUUUGUAGUCAUGUGUUACAACAGUGGGAAGCUAGCAGUAAUGAAGAUGGCAGUUGGUUUCAUCUAGAAAAGAAGGGUACAAUUUAUUAAGGCCCCCUAUGAACUAUAAUAGUGUGAAUGUGACCUGAGGGAGGCAACCUCCACAUUUUAGAGGGAAAUGUCCAAUAAACAAAUUCUUCAGGUCUAUGAAUUAUGAAAGAACUCGGGUUAAAGUAAACCAGAUGUGGAGAACAUGAACUUAUAAUUGUUCAGUUAAUCCAUAGGCAUUGAUGAGAUGAAUCAGGGAGAAAAUAUAAAAUUGUAUUAGAUUCAUUUGCUUAUGAGAGCACACAUCAAAUCCCUCUCAGAUCAUUUCAAAAACCUUGAAAGUCAAUAUAUUGAUAUGCCAACUUCUGUCCAGAUUCUAUGACUGUCACACGGUUAUAGAAACUCAGAUUUUGGAGAGAAACACAUACGUAUAGUAGUUGCCAUAGUUAUUUUUCUUUUAAAAAUCAAGUAUAAAUAUAACUAUAAUGCAGUAUACCAGGUGCUAUAAUAGAAUAUGGACAAGGCAAAAUGAGGGUUAUAUAAAGUGAUUCAGAAAGGGACCAUUUCGUUCUGCCUAGUGAAGUCAGGAUAUUGAACGAAUUUCCUACACUGUCAGGUGGACACAGGACACCUCAAAAAUGGACAAGAAUAUAUGAAAGCAUGAGUAUGAAAAAAGCCAGGAGAGCUGUGCUAAGCCAGUGAUAUCACUUAACAUUCCUUCCAAGUAGUUUGGUUGUAAUCUGAAUGUUUAAUUUAAAAAAAAAUUUUUAAACUUAAUUUUUUUAAUUGAGAAAAUGGCCACAAAUGAGAGUUGAAUGCAAGAGUACUUUAUUUUUUCAUAAGCUCCAAGAGGAAACAUUCAUGGUUAUAAAUGCCAUGUUUUGGUAUUUUGCUUAUCUAAUCUUUAUACAUUGUCACAUUUAAUUUCUCAAGCAUUAGCUUAUUAUAUCAGCCAUUGACAUAGCUCAGUAUUAGCAAAUGGAAAGUAAAAUUUAAGUUAUUUGGCCAAGGUCAAAACUGUUAAGUAGCAGACUGAAAUUUAGACCUAGCACAGGUAUCCUCUCUCCAGAAAGCCUUCCCUUGAAUCCUUAGUUGAUUUAAGUGCCUGUCCUCUGACUAUGAGCAUAAUGUAUUUUCACUGUGGCAUUUACUUCAGUAACAGUGAUGCUUGCUGUGUGCCAAGUACAUAAUUCCUGUACCUGUUCUGUUACCUGAGUUUAAAUGUGCUAUGGGCAUUCACUCAUUUAAACUUUAUAACAGCCCUUAGAAGCACCAUAUAGAAAGACCACAGAGUGAUAGCAUAUACAACAACCCUACUGUUUAUCACAGUAUUUUAUAAAUGAAGGGCUUAGGAUGUGGCUCAGUGGGAGAGCACUUGCCUGGCAUGUUUAAGGCCCUGGGUUCGAUCCCCAGCACCAGGACCAAAAAAGAGGAAAGGCUAAAUAGUCACUCAGAGUCACUGCAGAAUUAAUAAGUGAUGGAGCCAGAUUCAGAUCUAGAUAGUUAGAUGCUAGAAUCUAUGCUCUUAACCUCCAUUCUGCUACCUGCAGACCAUGUAUCCUCUGCUUACAUGAGGGAUUCUAGAAAACAGCUCACAGAACUUACUGAUGUAUUUACUGUAGGGAUGUUGUAUGUGAUAUUUCUCUGUGGUCCUUCUAUAAAUGCAAGAGAAUUUUUUCUGAGUAAAAAGUCAUGAAAUAUUUGGCUACUCUUGAGUAAUAGAUGUUCUUUCUCUUCAUAAGCAAUAGGAUUAUAUAACAGGCUGUUCUUCCCUUUUUGCUUUGCUAAGAAGCUCUGCAUAAAUGUGUUGACUCAGUGUUUGUAACUGAGUGGCUUGUUCUGCAUACUGUGUUCUCUUUUUUUAUUACUCAGCCUUCCAUUGCUAUAACAAAAUAUCUGAGCUUAUCAUCUUAUAAAGAGAAAAUAUUUAUUUUGGCUCACAGUUUCAACCAAUGAUCAAUUGGCGCUAUUGUUUGGGGCCUAGACUGAGGCAGUAUAUAUGGCAGGGGUGUGUGGUGGAGCUAAACCACUUGCCUCAUGACCAGGAAGCAAAAAGAGAACAAGGAAGGCAUCAGGGUUCCCCAACGCCCUUCAAAGGCAUGCUUUCAGUGACCUAAAGACUUUCCACUCAGCCCCCCUCCUGAGGGUUCUACAUCUACCAAAAGUGCCACCCUGGGGACCAAAACUUUAGUACAUGGGCCUUCAGGGGACAUUCAAGAUCCAAACUACAGCAAUUGGUUUGAAAUUUCUCAAAAUAAAUAGUUGAAAAUAAUAAUCUAAACUUUUCUUAUUUCAUUUUUUUAUUUUUUUAAACAGAGAGAUAGAGAGAAUUUUUUAAUAUUUAUUUUUCAGUUAUCGGUGGACACAACAUCGAACCCGGGCCACACACAUGCCAGGCAAUCGCGCUACCGCUUGAGCCACCUCCCCAGCCCCUAAAUUUUU
rnacentral:lncRNA from 1 species